GACGAACGCUGGCGGCGUGCUUAACACAUGCAAGUCGAACGGAAAGGCCCUGCUUUUGUGGGGUGCUCGAUUGGCGAACGGGUGAGUAACACGUGAGUAACCUGCCCUUGACUUUGGGAUAACUUCAGGAAACUGGGGCUAAUACCGGAUAUGAUCUCCUGCUGCAUGUUGGUGGUUGGAAAGUUUCGGCGGUUGGGGAUGGACUCGCGGCUUAUCAGCUUGUUGGUGUGGUAGUGGCUUACCAAGGCUUUGACGGGUAGCCUGCAUGAGAGGGUGACCGGCCACAAUGGGACUGAGAGACGGACCAGAAGCCUACGGGAGGCAGCAGGCGGGAAUAUUGCACAAUGGGGGGAAGCCUGAUGCAGAAACGCUGCGUGCGGGAUGAUGGGUUACGGGUGGUAAACAGAUUUGGAAGGUGACGAAGAGGGAGUGACGGUAAUGGGUAAAGAAGCAACGGCUAACUACGUG
rnacentral:rRNA from 1 species